rnacentral:rRNA from 1 species
GAUGAACGCUGGCGGCGUGCCUAAUACAUGCAAGUCGAGCGAACGGACGAGAAGCUUGCUUCUCUGAUGUUAGCGGCGGACGGGUGAGUAACACGUGGAUAACCUACCUAUAAGACUGGGAUAACUUCGGGAAACCGGAGCUAAUACCGGAUGAUAUUUUGAACCGCAUGGUUCAAAAGUGAAAGACGGUCUUGCUGUCACUUAUAGAUGGAUCCGCGCUGCAUUAGCUAGUGGGUAAGGUAACGGCUUACCAAGGCAACGAUGCAUACCCGACCUGAGAGGGUGAUCGGCCACACUGGAACUGAGACACGGUCCAGACUCCUACGGGAGGCAGCAGUAGGGAAUCUUCCGCAAUGGGCGAAAGCCUGACGGAGCAACGCCGCGUGAGUGAUGAAGGUCUUCGGAUCGUAAAACUCUGUUAUUAGGGAAGAACAUAUGUGUAAGUAACUGUGCACAUCUUGACGGUACCUAAUCAGAAAGCCACGGCUAACUACGUG